GAGACUGAAUUCAAGAGUUAAAAGGGAUAGAGGCAUUCCCACUGUUAGAAGAAUCAGUUAGUGUUGGCUGAGGGUAUCAAGUUUGCAAAGCAUCAGGAGCUGGACAACAUUUCAGAAUUAAAAGCAGUGAAUACAGACCGAGGCAUCCGAAGGCCAUGCCAGGGCCAGAUGGAUACAGAGAACUAUAUCCUUGCCAAAACCUUCCUGCGUCUAAAAUUUGCUGUCCUCCCAAACCUCCGCUUAAGGGUGAGAAAUGGCACAGAGCAACAGACUUUAUUUUGAGGAGAGAUGUCCAAGAGAAGGACCAACAACGCCAGGCCACCCAGCGCUCCACAGUGGCACAAAACUCACGCCAAGUAAUUGCCUCUCAUGGUCUGGUCGCUCCCCCAAAGAUAAAACCAAUCCCAAAACCUCGUCAUCUGAAGAUGCAGAUCCAUGUUGAGCAAUCACAGCCUGUCCAUAAUAUCAUUAUGAAUUAUGUCCCACCUACAUCAGACCAAGCUUGUUCAGAUGGAAAGAAUAAUGACACUCAUUUGGAAAACCGGCACAGUCGUCCAAAAACUACCUCACAUAAAUCAAAACGGGUCCCUCCGAGCGUACCUGUACCUGCCAGACCUCUUCCCAAAGAGCCAGAG